UGUUCUUUGCAUUCUUAAAGGAGAACACAGGGAACAUGAGCACUUUUCCAUUCUUCAGAAGCUGGUCUGAGAUAUAAUCCAGGUAUCAGCUCGGAGCCUUCCUGACAGGGAUCCCCAGAGGCAGCCAUGAAGUUCCCCAUAUGGAUUCCCCAUUGAGUCCUGAGGAUUUCACGACAUGGGUUUGGCAAGAAAAGUGGAAUCUGCUCCAUCAAGACUGAUGAUUCAACUAGACAUUAAUGGGGAAGAAGGAGGGGGAAAUGACGGACACCAAAGAAAGAAAGCAACACCCUGCCUCAUCACAUCAUCGUGUCCUCCACCCGCUAAAUUUCCAUUCUGUCUCCAACAUCCGCUUGAUGAGCGACACAAACAUGCAGUCAGUGGCCUAGUCAGAAAUCCUGAAAACCAUACAGACCUGCUCCAUCUCACUCAUCUGGCUCCUCAACCCCCAUAACCUAUCUCAUGUCCUUUUUUGUGGUUGUUGUUAAGGUUAAUUCCAGUAUAGUUAAUAUGCAGUGUUUCAUUAGUUUCAAGUGUACAAUGCAGUGAUUCAAUAAUUCUACACAUGACUCAGCGCUCACAUUCUUUCGAUUUCACCUCGUUACCAUCACUUAACUCUAUUCUGCCACUAGGGCUUACUACUGUUUGGCUAAACUUUCUACAGUUGCCCCUAAACUGGUCUCCUUGUUUCCAGAGUCAUGUUUGUACAGACUCUCUUCUAAAUAGCACUCAAAACGCUUUCUGUGCAAAGUUUUUCCAUGACUCCCCAAGACUUUCAAAAUGUCAUCACUACUUUCUUCACCAGGUUCUCUGUCGCCUGCCACUGGUGUGGCUCUCAAGACUCCACAACUACCACUUGGCCAAAUGAGCCCUUCCUUCCAGGAAUAUGGAAGUACUGGUAAAUCCUUGGCUAAACCAUCUUAUUUCAUCAUCCCAUGAUUUUACUCAUUACAUUAUAUAGAUUUUCUCCCUGUAUCCAUCUCAUCCUUCCUUGAAAGGCUAUUAUUACCUGCUCAUACCUCAAAAGGAAGCUCAAAGGUCACCUCUACCAAACCACCCUCCAAACCACACACUACAUAGAUGUGACUUCUCCUUGUGAGUUCUCACGGUUGUCUCUCUCAGAAAUCUACAUCAAUCCCUGAUUUUGGCAUGUGAAGUGGCAUGCAUUUAUCACACCGUUGGCUUACCCCCACUGUGUACAAAAACAGGAUUGAGUCCAGAGCUGCUUGAGUCCAGAAUCUAUGUCUUAGUCAUUCUAUCCCCAGUGGCUUUCACAGUGUCUGGCAACAAUACUUGUUGACUAGAACUGAAAUCAGAUGCGACAUUGCUUGUGUUUGAGGUAGGGCGUGAGGAUCACAGCAGUGCUCAGGUACCGACUGUCCAGGGAUCUGUAGUCUCUCUGGUACUGACAUAGCUGCCAAUUCUCUACCCAUACGUCCUUGGCCUCACUGCCAUAAUGUAUUCAUAACCCUACUUCCAACUGCCUGUGGCUUUUCUAGGGUUUCGGGGGUUCCCGCCCUCCAGGAGGUGCCAGGGAAUGAACACCCCCUGUGGCAGCCUCCAAACAAACACUGAUAAAAGUUGGCAUAAAAAUAAUCUAAAACCCUCAUCCCUUGUACACGAUGCCUCAGGGGUGGCCAUUCUACAGUGACUCCUAGAUGUCCCCAGUGAGAUUAAGCUCCAGUUACCCACAGUGUUGAUUGAUUUGGUAAUGUUUGCUUACAUUGUACCCUUCCCUUCCUAUACCUGUCUCCAUUGUCCAAAUUUGGUGUCCAGGGAUUGUCUCACAAUGAAUAUCUUGU